UCUGAAUGGCGCUAAUGCCUUAUAGUCCUCCGCGCUCCUUGUUGGUUUAAAUGCAGAUACUUCCACCAUGGCUGUAGCUUGUAGCUGCUUGUGUCUGGGCCGAGCCCUUCAGCUAGCAAAAUAUCCCACGCUUAUUGUUUGAUGUUCUAGCAUAAGUUGGUUCGCCUGGGUAGGUUUGAAGACCGUAGGCCGACAUUCUUGCAAAAAAUACAACCGCAACAAGUGCAGUUCACUGUUUGCUUUGAAUUGGCCCCCAUGUUUGCUGUGCGUGUGUGUGUGUGUGUGUGUGUGUGUGUGUGUGUGUGUGUGUGUGUGUGUGUGUGUUUUAACAAAUGCUUGUGUGUGUGUUUCUGUGCUGGUCAGCACUUCCCACUGUGCCUGAAGAUACCAUCUCCACCUCCUCAGCUCAUACAGUGUCUGGUGCUUCAUCUGUGACUGCUCCCUCAUUGGACAGCGAGGACACUUACCUGUGCGAGUGUGGUCGCAAGACAGCUUGCAAGAAAUGUCAACAUCUCCUACAAGAAAAUCAGAAACUACGCCGGGAGCUCAGCACGCUAAAAAGUCACAAAUAAAGAGACUGAGAAUCUCCACAUUUGACCUCCCCGUCUCACUUGUCCAAAUUUAUGACGACUAUGAUGACUGAUUUUACAUGAAUAAAGAAAUGUAAUGUUUUUUUCCAA